GCCGAGAUGGGGUAGUGGUAGUCCUAGAGGACUGUGGAUCCUCUGGCCCGGGUUCAAGUCCCGGUCUCGGCC
rnacentral:tRNA from 1 species